rnacentral:lncRNA from 1 species
CCAAGAAAAACUUCAGCUCCUGAAGACUAUUGAACUUCAUCCCCUUCUUAAUCACUGGACUCUCACCAACGAACGUCCCUUUGGAAUUCACCAUACUAGAUUCACAUAUUGCUAUGUGGACCAUACUGAUGUCCUUAUCAUUGGGAAUGGAUGGCAGUUCGACAUCACGUUCUUUUAACAAUCACAACUCGUUCUGGGUGUAAGAAAAAUAAUCAUCCAUACGACGAAUGCCUUCUACAUCAUGCACGGUUGCGGUGUCAAACUGUGGUCCAUCCUCUUCAUUUUCUACCCCGUCGUCCUUAUAUUCAUGCCCACCACUCUGAGAUAGUGACUCCUCCUCUGCCUCUACACCUACUACCCCAUCUUCCUCGAAUUCACAAUCUUCAGAACCCAUAGAGACAUUAUCAUCAUCUAUAUUUGCUUCAUCUCUCUCAAAAAUGUUAUUGGGAAAAUCAUCAUUGGCAAUAGCCAAGUCAAAACCACAUUCUGUUUCACCUAACACAUGAUGCAACAUUUCUGACUCCUAGGUACCAUUACGGUUCACUACCGCCACUUCCUCCCUCAAGACAACAUUUGGGCCAGGCAUACGAACAAUUUCAACUAUAACCUCCAAACAUGCAACAUUAGCUUCGUGAACUACAUCCUUAUAGUGCUUCAUGAGAACAUAAUGAGCUCUAGCUUUCCCACAAUCAAAACAACCUCUCAAACUCAUCUCAUCCACUCUACAUCCAUACUUCCUCAUUACACGGUCAACUAAAUCAAUAAAAGUUGGAGGACCCUCAAAGAAUUCAAUUGACUCAUUCAUAUUCUCUAACUCCCCAUUUUGUUUCACAAUACCACCAUCAAAAAAUCGAACUAAACGAUCCAUCUACAAAAUACAAACAUUUCACCAUGUCAUAUACAC